rnacentral:lncRNA from 12 species
GCACACUGCGUCCAAUGCCUAAACUGUCAAAAAGAAAAGAUGAUCCUCCAGAAAAUGACCUCGGUCAGCCUAGCUCUACACAGACCUCUUUAGCUACACCUCAGCAGUCCCUGGACCCUCAAGCUGCGGAAUGGUCUCUCAGAAGCAAUAUGCUGCCCGUGGACUCAGAUGAGAUGGAGAACUGGUGUGAAGGAGUUUCCCACAUGUUGCUGUCAGAUGCAUUUGUGCCCGUUUCUGAAGAGACUGGAGAGAACAGCACAGAGCUAAAAGUAUUUGUCUUAAGCAUUCCUCAUAAGCAUGAGCAAACCACGCUUAGUCCGACAAAGAGUGAGGAGACAACCUCUGAAAUUUCAAGUGAUGUAUGUGAUUUUAAGCAGCAUUUAGCUGCAGUUCAUAACAAUUGAUUUUAUAUGGAUAAGUCUCAUGAAGAAGUGUCUAGAUCACAUUUUAUAUAUAAAAAAAGCCUUUCUUCAAAAAUAUGUUAAAUAAUUAAAAUGAUUUAAAAAAUAAUAAAAUACAAUUAUUUAUUAAAAAAUAUAUAAAGAGGGAGUAAAAUUAACAAAAUAUUUAUUUAUUAAUUUUUGGAGUGAAAUGUGACCUGGACAGGUUUUUCGAGAUUAAUCUACUGUAUAUAAAACUUUAAACAAGGUGCAAAUGACAAUGCAAAAACCUGUUUUAUAGGUACACCACACUACUUCUGACAUGAGAAAAUCAAAUGAGAGUCUGCCAGCAUCACAAGCAAAAAAAUCACCAGCAAGAAGUUAGUCAUUCCUCAUCUCAGACUGUUAUUAAUCUUUGUCUCCAUUAUUUUUUGUAUUACUGAUUUAUUUUUUUCUGAUUUCUCUCAAAAAGGUACAUUUCAGAUGACACUAAGGUCACCUGAAAGACGCCUUAAAGAUCAACCUGGUAUGCUGAAGUCAAUCCAAGCUGCCCCGGCAGCACCUCAGCAAACUCCAACAUCAAAAGUGAAAGAGUCCAUGGGAACUCCAACAAGACAACAAACAGGAGAGAUCUCAAGUGCAUGCUGGGUACAGCUAGAAAGGUUAUCGGUAGAGGAAAUCUGCAGUGCUCAAACUGUCCUGCAACCAAAGCACCACAGCACGCCUGUCACUUUAAAACCCACUUCUAGAGGGAAUGAGAUGGACAAGGCAUCUCUGGCUUUGCAUGGAAGCAGAAGCUCUGGUUUAGGAUCACCCAUGCCGCCAGGUUACUCGCCAAGGGUUUUCCUUCAUCGUAUACCAUUAAAAGCUACUGAUGAGAACAUUUCUACACAUACUUCGUCCCCAGCUAGAGUGUCCACCACACCCUCCCGAACACAGUCUCAUCAUCAGUCUCCUCAAAACAGCCCUUCCGUCUCCAGUUUGGAUGCUGAUGAGAUUCCUGAUCAAGUGUCCCACAUCUUACUGCAUGACAUCUUCACUGAAGUUGUGGAUCCGGAUUGA